CCUUUAUAUUGUUUUUAGACACUGAAAAUGCAUGUUUGCCUGUUUUGUAGGCCUGUGAAGCGGAAUGGAGCGGAAAGGUUGCCCAGAGACAAACAGAAAAAAAAGAUGAAGAACAAUGGACAGCGAUUUCUACGAAGGCACUUGAAGACAAGACAGAUCAAACAUCAAAUCAGCAGCAAUGGACAGUGAUCAUGAUGUGAAAGAGCACGACAAGAUCUGGGGCCUGUUUCAUGAAAGACUUUCAACUCUUGCAACUCUGCCAUUAUUGUAACUACCGUGGUAACAUGGCUCAAAAGCCAAUUCACGUCGAGGUUACAGUUACAAUAAUGGCAUGAUUACCAUAGUUGUAAUUCUUUAUGAAACGGGACCAAGGAGGAAUGCCAUCGUGACGGACAGAGGGAGAGGAUCUUUGCCAGUACUUAUCCUGAUAAACGAUCUUGCUUGGAGAAACAGAACAAGAUGUGAGUGAGAAGAUUGUCCUUGGUCUUUCCAAUGCUGGAGGAGGCAGAUCAGAUGAUACACAGUUUGAUCAGAGGUUAUUCAGUCCAUCCAAGACAAUGAAGACAAGAUGAGAGAGCAAGACAAGAUCAGGGAGGAACGGCAUCAUGAGAGACAGGAGGAGAGGAACUUUGCCCAUACAGGAUAAUAGCGAGAAGAUUGCCCUUGGACUGGAGAAGGCAGAUCAGAUGAUAUACAGUAGGUGGUUUCAGACCGCCUAGAAGUUCGCCA